AUUAUCCAAACAAACUCCAACCACAAAUGUCUACAAGAAACCAAAAUCUCAACAAUUGAAAUCUCUAAUUAGAAACCAACUCAAAAAGAAAAGAGAGAGAGAGAGAGAGAGAGAGAGAGAGAGAGAGAGAGAGAAAGAGAAAGAAGAACAAUGUUUGUAGUUUAGCGACGCUGCUACUAUUGUUAUGAGAUUGAGUUUUGAGAACGAUUUCUUGAGAAUGAUUGCGUGCGUGAAGAUUAGGAGGAGCUCGUGGGAGAGGGAUUCUUGAUGUACGGUCGGCAGUGAAUAGAAGGUAGAGUUGUUGGGAUGGUAAAGCUGAAGUCAUUAGCAGUUGCUACUAAAGAAGGAAUUAUUGGCGAAAGUUGCUAUUGUUGUGUGUAAUUUUAUGUAUGUAUUUGGGUUGAAUUUUAAUGAAUUUAGAUUACUAGUUACCGUUAGUUAGAAAUAAUUUAGGUUUAAUUAAGAGUUUAUGUAAGUUAUAUUAUUAUUAUGGUAUUUUAUUUACUUUUAGUUUAUUUAGAAAAUUUGUAUUUAAUUUUGAUAAGUUUUUUUCUUUUUAUAGGAAAGAUUAGAAAGAAAUCUAAACGAUCAUGAAAAGUUAUAUCGUUACUUAACACGUGGGAUGAUUAUGUUCGUGUUGCACUUUGAAAGAAGAAUCAGGAAGCAUGGCUUGAUACACGGCCGUGCCAGAAGUAGGGCUAAGCACGGAUCGGUCCAAUUCGGUUAUCUAUAAAUCACCAAUAUCAUAUCAAACCUCGAUUCUUUUAAAAUUAAAGGUACCAGUACCGUACCAAACAUAAAAGAAUUUGUACCGUAUUGUACUAAUUUUUACGGUUAAAUACAGUUUGGUUCGGUGCUAUUUUCGGUUCUAAAAAAUUAAAAAAAAU
rnacentral:lncRNA from 1 species